CAGCUUCGUUUUCCCUGGGACCGUGAACAAAGGUUCUCUGUAAACGUACGUGGGUCCCGUGCGCCUGCCGGUCACUCCCCAGAGGCCUCGGGCCGCGGGGCGAGGGCUGAGGCUGGCAGCGCGGGGCUCCGGGGCUCCGGGGCGCUCCCGCCCCCUCCCGCCCCCUCCCUCCCCGGGGCUGGCCCGCGCCGCCAGCCUCCCCGAGGGCCCCGAGCUGGGGGCCGGACGGGCGGGGGCUCGGGCUCAGCUCGCGGCCGCGCCCCGAGGGUGGCAACGGCGCCGUCCGCCCCGCGGGGAUCGCGGCCCCGGGCCACACCCUGGCCCUUCGCGGCCGCCGCGUACCCCUGCACCGCCGAGCACCUGGCCGCGGCCCUUACGACCCCACCUCCACGCCUCUCGUCCACCCGCUGCCCUCCCCGGCCACCCAGACUUCUGGAACAAACUUUUGGCGCAACUUUAUUUCACUCGCCCUGUUUAAAAUAAGUAAGGAACGGCCAUCUUCGGGAGCACAUUGAAACACGAUAUUCAUAGGGAUAGAAGAAAACAACGUGAAUGUUUGCCACAGUAAGCACUUUCUUGAUUUUCUAUUAUGAACUUCAGGAAGUCCUGGUACCUGGAGUCUUCUUGUUAAAUUAUAUGACCAUUAACAAGUCUUUUUUUCCUGACCCACAGUUUCUAAAUCUAUAUAAUGAGUAUAGUGUUUUCCUAUAUGGCAUGUAUCAGAGGGAGGAGUGGGCUGGCUUCAGAUUUCUUCAUGGCAAUAUUCAGUGCCCAAAGACAAUGGAGUAAAAAAAGAAAGCUAAUUCAGAGGCAG
rnacentral:lncRNA from 12 species